rnacentral:rRNA from 1 species
CGCGGCAAGACGGAAAGACCCCGUGAACCUUUACUAUAGCUUGACACUGAACACUGGUCCUUGAUGUGCAGGAUAGGUGGGAGGCUUUGAAGCGCGGACGCCAGUUCGUGUGGAGCCAUCCUUGAAAUACCACCCUUUAAUGGCUGGUGUUCUAACGUAGACCCGUGAUCCGGGUUGCGGACAGUGUCUGGUGGGUAGUUUGACUGGGGCGGUCUCCUCCUAAAGAGUAACGGAGGAGCACGAAGGUUAGCUAAUCCUGGUCGGACAUCAGGAGGUUAGUGCAAAGGCAUAAGCUAGCUUGACUGCGAGCGUGACGGCGCGAGCAGGUGCGAAAGCAGGUC